rnacentral:lncRNA from 1 species
GGCUAUACCUAUUUGGCAGAGCAAGUAAGAAAAGUAACCCUUGGGUUUUGUCUUGUGUUUGUUUUUGGUCCUUUUACAUAGGCAAAUUUAACCGAUCUUCUCUCAGAAGUUUCUCUCUCUUUGUUGGUAGGUGUCUGAGGAUUUGUGAGCAUCAAGUGAAUGUUCUGUGGAAUCAUCUUUCCUUGCCUUUGAAUUACCUUUCCCUAGGCCAUGAUCAUCAUCUAUAUUUUAUCUCUCCAAAUUGUGAUACGAGAUAUAAUUUUGCAACAUAUACAUGGAAUCAUUACAGCAACAUUAUCUCAAUGAGGUAAGUAAGGCAUACAUAAAAUUCAACAUUCUUCUGCUUGAAAAAAAAUUUAAAAUCAAAUGUAAGGACUUAGUAAUCAGUGUUUAUUGAAAGAUGAUGCAAACUAGUCAGGAC